rnacentral:tRNA from 2 species
GAGGGGAGGGUUAACCAACAAGAACUGCUAAUUCUUGCAUCUGAGUAUAAAACCUCAGCCCCCUUA